rnacentral:rRNA from 1 species
ACCGUAGCCAGACAAACUAAAGCGAAGGCAUUCGUCAAGCAUGUUUUCAUUGGCCAUGAGCGAAAGUCAGAGGCUCGAAGACGAUCAGAUACCGUCCUAGUUCUGACCAUAAACGAUGCCAACUGACGAUCCGUGGUGGUAGUGAUGUUGCCUUCCCCACGGGCAGUCGCCGGGAAACCGUUAAGUGUUUGGGUCCCGGGGGAAGUAUGGUUGCAAAGCUGAAACUUAAAGGAAUUGACGGAAGGGCACCACCAGGAGUGGAGUCUGCGGCUUAAUUUGACUCAACACGGGAAAACUCACCCGGGCCGGACACUGUGAGGAUUGACAGAUUGAGAGCUCUUUCUUGAUUUGGUGGUUGGUGGUGCAUGGCCGUUCUUAGUUGGUGGAGCGAUUUGUCUGGUUAAUUCCGAUAACGAACGAGACUCCAGCCUGCUAAUUAGUGCGUUCGUCCACUGCGCCCGCGUGGGUGACGUUGGACGAUACCGUCUGCCGCGGGCGCAGUUUGCGCUCUUCCCCUCUCUCUCCUCUCCUCCCCUCUUGCACUUCUUCGUGAGAGGGCGGUGGGGUGGGGUGGGGUGAGGGGGUGAGAGUGCAGGUUGACGCUCGUGGUUGUUAGUNUGGCGUUGGCCUGCGGGUGCGGCGCGAAUGCUUACUUCUUAGAGGGACAAGCGGGCGAAGCCGCACGAGANAGAGCAAUAACAGGUCUGUGAUGCCCUUAGAUGUCCGGGGCCGCACGCGCGCUACAAUGACGGUGUCAACGAGUGGGACCUNCUGGCCCGAGAGGGUUGGGCAAACUGGUCAAUCACCGUCGUGACAGGGAUCGGGGCUUGGAAUUGUUCCCCGUGAACGAG